ensembl:lncRNA
AGCAGUGACUUGGUACAGUCCAGCUCCAGGCAAAGGCAUUUAACACAACUCAUUGCUUCAGUCCAAUCUUUUAGUUUGAAGGCCAGCAAUCCCUUGGACCAGCAGAACGACUGGAACAAAACCCAGGCUCCUGUGGCAAAGACUGAGCACUUUGUGCAUUCACUCUGUCAGAGAAAGAGAGAGAGUGAGAGACAGAAAGAAGGAGGAUUUCCUCUGUUUUUACCCUCCCCUCCAUCGCCUUCUCGCCCCUGCUGGGUGUGGAAAUAACUGUCAAUCACGCCUCGUGCACGUCCCCAUUUGCAUCCAGUUCUGUUUAUAGAACGUAAAGAGGGAAAGAGGACGACACGCAAAAGCUGCAUCAUUAGGCUUUUAUGAGGCAUUUCAGUGAUGUCAGAGAAUGCUUUUGAAUAAAUAUAAAGCCCUCUGGUGGAAUCGUGCAGGCAGUUUUAUACUCCAGGUGUUUUACUGAAGACAAAUGAAAACACAAUUCAACCGUCACUGGAUCGUUCCAGAACUGGAGGACAUUUUACAUCAAAUUUCAAAUAAUCCAUGUAGAAAAUCCUGAAACAUGCUGUUGUUGUGUAAAUGUUCUUGUCCUGAGACCAAAUCUAAAAAAACUAAGUGAAAAGAAUGUUUGAAAAUAUUUUUAAAAAUAUCAAGUCUGGAGUUCCCCUUAAAUGCCAUUUUUCUCUCAUCCUCAUGACCAAACUGAAUCUGAAAUAAAACAGUUAAAAUGAAA